GAUGAAGAACGUAGCGAAAUGCGAUAAGUAAUGCGAAUUGCAGAAUUCAGUGAGUCAUCGAAUCUUUGAACGCACAUUGCGCCCUGUGGUAUUCCGCAGGGCAUGCCUGUUCGAGCGUCAUUUCAACCCUCAAGCCUCUUGGUGUUGGGCCCUGCCCGCCGCGGCCGGCCCUAAAGAUAGUGGCGGCGCCGCCUGGCCCUCAGCGUAGUACAGCUCUCGCUCCAGGGUCCGGCGGCAGCCUGCCAGAACCCCCCAACUCUGUGGUUGACCUCGGAUCAGGUAGGGAUACCCGCUGAACUUAAGCAUAUCAAUAAGCGGAGGA
rnacentral:misc_RNA from 1 species